rnacentral:lncRNA from 1 species
GGACAACAACAACAAAAUCAUGUAAAAAAUCCAUCAUACAAAGUUAAAUAGGCAGCAAGUGCCACUCUACCCAGAAUGCAGAGUGGAAAUGACAUGAACUAAUGAACCAUAAUCCUAAUCAUUAUAUCAAAUCCUAAUACAAAAAAUAAAACACAAUUAUACAACAAAACAAAAUUUAUUCAUGAAUGACACAAACAUAUAUGACAGCA